UGGGGAAUAUUGCACAAUGGGCGCAAGCCUGAUGCAGCCAUGCCGCGUGUGUGAAGAAGGCCUUCGGGUUGUAAAGCACUUUCAGCGAGGAGGAAGGUGGUGAGCUUAAUACGCUCAUCAAUUGACGUUACUCGCAGAAGAAGCACCGGCUAACUCCGUGCCAGCAGCCGCGGUAAUACGGAGGGUGCAAGCGUUAAUCGGAAUUACUGGGCGUAAAGCGCACGCAGGCGGUUUGUUAAGUCAGAUGUGAAAUCCCCCGGGCUCAACCUGGGAACUGCAUUUGAAACUGGCAAGCUAGAGUCUCGUAGAGGGGGGUAGAAUUCCAGGUGUAGCGGUGAAAUGCGUAGAGAUCUGGAGGAAUACCGGUGGCGAAGGCGGCCCCCUGGACGAAGACUGACGCUCAGGCUGCGAAAGCGUGGGGCAGCAAACAGGAUUAGAUACCCUGGUAGUCCGCGCUGUAAACGAUGUCGAUUUGGAGGUUGUGCCCUUGAGGCGUGGGCUUCCGGAGCUAACGCGUUAAAUCGACCGCCUGGGGAGUACGGCCGCAAGGUUAAAACUC
rnacentral:rRNA from 1 species